CCACUCAACCCAUAAAGGCACACCCUAAUGUUUACAACACAACGGGGAAAACCACGCCACUUCUAGAAAUACAAGAAGAUUGAGGAACCAGACAUGCAGACGAAACAACAACAAGCAUGCAUACGCAGCGGUAAAACCACGCCACUGCCAGCAACAUACGCCAUCCCAGCAACACACACCUUCCCAACGCAACAUGUUGCGAAUGUGUUAGCACGCAGCACAGGCUUGCUGGGGAGUUAGGUGCAGUGCUGCCAAUUUGGAUUUUUUCCCGUCAAAACUGGCUUUUUUCGUAGGCUAACUGCGGGAAAAAUUUGAGAAUUGCGGGAAUUGGGAAAAGCGGGAAUUCUGGCUUUUUUAGAAAUUCAGUUGGCUUUUUCUGACUUUUUUCUGUGUUGUUAACACUUAAGUACAAAAAAUAUGAAAAAGUGGCAGCUUUACGAUAGUCACUUACAAACAAACAAGAAAAUGUGGUGGCGGAUCGAUUGUUUUUCUCGAUAUACGCGAAUGUCAUCUCUAUUUAGUGGUUCCAUCUCUAUUUAAAAAGUGCGCGUAAAUUCUUAAAGGUUGUGAAAUGCCGGAAGAGUGCAAGCAAAAAUGCCGCGAUGUGUGGCUUAAAAGUGAUGAAUUCAAGGCAUGGAUUCGCAGGGAUGAUACAGGCCAGCAGAGGGUUUACUGCAACUAUUGCAAGAGCACUAUCACAGCGAAACUGAGUGAUCUGCGAGCUCACGCUGCAACAAAGAAGCACACAAGUGCCAUGAGUGGCUUUACCCAGGCGAACAAGCUCAACUUUGCAAGAGCAUCUGAAAAUUAUAAUGUGCAAAUUAAGGAAGCAUCGCUGCGCCUUUUUAUUGUACAGGAUACAGCAAUGGCGCAAAUUGACCACUUGGGGAGCCUAUGCAAAAAACGGUUCGACGGAGCACCGGACCAAAUGCACAAACAUUUUAAAAAAUGUAUUAGGACCACACUUUUCUGAAGACUUACGCCAAGAUAUCGGAGAAUCAAAAUGCAGCCUCCUCCUCGAUGAGUCCAUUCAAAUAUUGUGUUUACCCUGGUCAAACGCGGAGAUAGAAAGGGUUUUUAGCCAGGUUAACCUAAUUAAAUCAAAAUUAAGAAAUUCAAUAGGCCUCGCCACGACUAACAGCAUUCUAAGCAUAAGAAACGGAUUACGAAGAAUGGGAAAAUACUGCGUCGACUAUGAAGUGCCUGUAAAAUAUCUGCAGAUGAUAGGCACGAAUAUGUCAUACGAAAAUGAGACCGAACAAGACGAUAUAGAUAAAUUAAUGGAAAUCUUUUAAACAAAAAUGAACUUAAUAAUUUGUUAUUUUUUUU